rnacentral:rRNA from 1 species
UACGGGGGGAGCAAGCGUUGUUCGGAUUUACUGGGCGUAAAGGGCGCGUAGGCGGCCAGCGCAAGUCAGUUGUGAAAUCUCCGGGCUUAACUCGGAACGGUCAACUGAUACUGCGCGGCUAGAGUGCGGAAGGGGCAACUGGAAUUCUCGGUGUAGCGGUGAAAUGCGUAGAUAUCAGGAGGAACACCGGUGGCGAAGGCGGGUCUCUGGGCCGAUACUGACGCUGAGGAGCGAAAGCGUGGGGAGCGAACAGG